rnacentral:rRNA from 1 species
AUUGAACGCUGGCGGCAGGCCUAACACAUGCAAGUCGAGCGGAUGAAGGGAGCUUGCUCCUGGAUUCAGCGGCGGACGGGUGAGUAAUGCCUAGGAAUCUGCCUGGUAGUGGGGGAUAACGUCCGGAAACGGGCGCUAAUACCGCAUACGUCCUGAGGGAGAAAGUGGGGGAUCUUCGGACCUCACGCUAUCAGAUGAGCCUAGGUCGGAUUAGCUAGUUGGUGGGGUAAAGGCCUACCAAGGCGACGAUCCGUAACUGGUCUGAGAGGAUGAUCAGUCACACUGGAACUGGGCAACGGUCCAGACUCCUACGGGAGGCAGCAGUGGGGAAUAUUGGACAAUGGGCGAAAGCCUGAUCCAGCCAUGCCGCGUGUGUGAAGAAGGUCUUCGGAUUGUAAAGCACUUUAAGUUGGGAGGAAGGGCAGUAAGUUAAUACCUUGCUGUUUUGACGUUACCAACAGAAUAAGCACCGGCUAACUUCGUG